AGUGAACCAUCACCAUUGAUUUUACUGCUAGGAAGAUCUUAAAGAGUGAUAUGCCUGACUGGUUUAAAUGCAGCGGGUGCGGCUGCGGUUGCGGGAGUUUGCGGAAACGAGCGGUUGCGGUUUCAAGCGUUAUCAAACGUUCUGAACGACUGGUUGAGCGUUUGAUAAUGGGUGCGUUUACGGGAAUUUUAUGACUGGUAAACCAGCGGGUGCGAUAAUAAUUAAAUAAAAAAAUAACCAAAAUAAAUAUAAUAUAUUACUAUUAAAAAAAAUGAAAAAAAU
rnacentral:sRNA from 1 species